rnacentral:rRNA from 1 species
UGGGGAAUCAUGGUCAAUGGGCGAAAGCCUGAACCUGCGACGCCGCGUGAGUGAUGAAGGUCGUAAGAUCGUAAAACUCUUUUCAGGGAUCUUAAAGCCUGUCUGUCAACAACAGGCAGGUCUGACUCUCCCUGGAAGACGCCCCAGCCAACUACGUGCCAGCAGCUGCGGUAAUACGUAGGGGGCGAACGAUAUUCGGAAUUACUGGGUGUAAAGGGUAUGUAGGCGGCCCUUCAAGUGGCGUGUCAAAGUCCAGUGCUCAA